UACAGUGGCCUCAAGCGUUGUUCGGAAUCACUGGGCGUAAAGCGGGUGUAGGUGGCUUGGUAAGUUAGGUGUGAAAUCCCCGGGCUCAACCCGGGAAGUGCAUCUAAAACUACUUAGCUUGAGUACGGGAGAGGGAAGCAGAAUUCCUGGUGUAGUGGUGAAAUACGUAGAUAUCAGGAGGAACACCGGUGGCGAAGGCGGUUUCCUGGCCCAGUACUGACACUCAGACCCGAAAGCGUGGGGAGCAAACAGG
rnacentral:rRNA from 1 species